UUACUCUCUUUGGCAGCACAUAUACUGAAAUUGGAACGAUGCAGAGAAGAUUAGUAUGGCCCCUGCGUAAGGAUGACACGCAAAAUCGUGAAGCGUUCCGCAUUUUU
rnacentral:snRNA from 1 species